rnacentral:lncRNA from 1 species
GAUCAUUUUAGAGGUUAUUUAAUAAAAAUGUGGAGGGCAUUCGAUUGGGCUGGGUGUUGGGAUUUAUUUCCGAAAUGGGUUGGGCUUGGGUUUGACUAGUGAUGAUUGGCUUCUUCAAGUACUCUUCUCAGCUGAUCUAUUUAUUUACCGCAACAAAGCAGUCUCAUUACAUCGAAACCAUUAUGGAUUUUUCUUUUGAUUUGAGGUUUCUAUUUCCACCUCUGCUAAAUCUUAUAAUCUUUGUUCCGUUCCUUAAAUCUCAAACUAGCAACUCUUGGGGCCUCAAAGAUAUAAUGCAGAAGAUGCUUUUAUGUUCAAUUCUAAAGAUGCCAUUCCCAAUCAUGAUUCUUGUUGCGCUGCUUUUACUUCUUUUACUCUGGCAACAUCAGUAGUUGCUUCUAUCAUUUUGGAUCCAUCACUUUUCUUGGUGACCUAUUUGUGUCAUAUAAUGUUAUCUCCCUCGUAUGCAACAAUGUGGAGGCUGUUUACAGGCUUUGUUAUCGGGUUUCAGAGAGUUCUACGAUCCAUUCCCACUAUCUUCGUCAGAUGUGUCAAUCGGAAUCAAGGAAACAUAGAAGCAGACUCUCCUCAUCAAGAUGACAGAGAAUGUAAUUGUUAUUAACCAGCUCAUCCAAAACCUGCAGCCAAGUCCAGAACAUUAAGGUCAUAAUUAACCUUGUAGUUGUUGUGGUUAUAUAGUUGAUAGGUAUGUAAUUACAUACAUAGUUGUUGCCCUGCUAGUCAAUAAAAAUGACUGUCUUGCUGUGCAAGUGUGUUACACUGUAAGGAAUAGUUUUUUUUUUAUUCUAUGGGGGGUUAGGCGGGACCCCUACUUGUCAUUAAGAACAAAUAAAGAAAAUACAUUUGGAGGGGGACAUAAACCAAAACAUCCAAUCAAGAAAAAUAAAAAUAACAGUAAACGAAAUGAUCUAGGCAUAGCCUAAUAUAAGAAGAAAAGGACUAAUACAGACGGUGAUAAUAUCUCUUACGAUACUUGCGGCCGGCAAGUAAUUUAAUAUCUUUUUUUGAAUGACUAACAAUGCUAAAAUCAGGGCUAGAGUCAAUUCUCUCAGAAUUCUCAGGAGUAGACAGGAAAUGGUCAUUAUUCGCCAAGUGAUCGUCAGAACUAUCAUCAUUAUCAGUAUGAGAAUUGUAAAGCCUAAAAUCUGUGUUGGAUGAUCGAUGAAGAUGUGUAUUAUACUCACCUGGUUCUCGGAUCCUAGAAUCAUGAGUUGUGACAUCCUGGCCAAUCGGCUCCUGAAUGGAAGUAGAGUCUGUAGCGUUAGCUCGGCUCUCCGUAGGACCGAUCGAAGACCAUGCAUCUGCAAUCUGCUUAGUGAUGGACGGCUCAGGUCGUGGAGUGUCGAAGGAUUGAGGAGUAUCUGACGGCAGCACUUCUGACUUCUUAUUAUCUAUUAUGGUCUGCCAAUUCCUAUUGGGCUGCUGGGGACGGAGUCCCGGAUUGAUCACAUAACACGUCUCAAUGGAAUGGCCAAGGUGCUUGCAUGAAGCACAGUACAUUGAGAUUUUCUCAAAUUUACACUCUGCCAAAACCCAGAAUCUCCCACACCGAUUCGUAUCCAUUGCAACGGAGGUUGAGUGACAUCAUACUCCACUAACACCCUAGCUACAGAAGGGCGAGCUAAAGAAGCAGUAGCUUGGUCAAUUCCCAAUGGUUUACCAAUAGCUAAUGCAAUAGAAAUUAAUGCUUCCUUACAGUGCAUGAAAUGGACAGGCAAGUAAGGAAAUGAAAUCCAAACUAGGAUUAUAGGGGACUUCUCCAAACAUCAAAAAUCGGUGGUCCAUUUAAAAAUUCUCAUGGCACUCCCAUUGAUGUACCAUGUUUGCCUAUCCCAUAGGCGGGAGUAGUCCUCCUCAACAUCCAAUUGAAUUAACACAUGUUGAUUAUCUAAAAGGGACACCUUGAAAGUUCUCUUCAAUCUCAAUGUAUUAAAAAAUUUACGAAUUAAUUCCAUACUAGGUCUAUUGUAGGAAAAUUUACCUACCAAUGUUAGCUUGAAAGGAAUGGCCAUCGCUUGAAUUUCCGCAGUAGAAAAUUGCACGUUAGGCUCUCCUUCGAAUGAAGUAACGGUCUUGAUUGAAAUCGUCGAGUUGGAUGGGCCGUUCAUAAUAUCUACCAAAGAUUUUUUAGUGGGUUUAUUUUGAUUUAGAUUGGGGACGGAUUUCAAAACCGAGGCGUAGGAGGGUGCGGACGUGGGCUGAGUGAUAUUUUGGAUUAACGGAUCAUUUUAGAGGUUAUUUAAUAAAAAUGUGGAGGGCAUUCGAUUGGGCUGGGUGUUGGGAUUUAUUUCCGAAAUGGGUUGGGCUUGGGUUUGACUAGUGGGAAAAGCUAGUGGGGCAUGGGAAGUGCUAGUGGGAGACACACAUGGGGAACACAAUUCUUGAGUUGCCGAAAGUGUUCCAUGGGCAUGGAAAUUACCACCCGUGUGCAGACUUUUGAGCUGGAGUUGGUUGGAUGUUUCCUGACUUUGGCUGGGUUCGAUGAUGGUUGUAUGCAGCUGGCUUUCGGUUGACAGCUGCAGCUGGCCGUGAGCACUGUUCCGAGUGCUUGCUUGUGAUUUGCAUGUGGCUUUUUGUCGUGUGGGAGUUGUUUGUGUAGGUGGUGAUUGUGGCUGGCUGGUGCUUGUAGCUUGAACUGAAUCUUGAGGCAAUUGGCCAUGGAGUACACUGUAAGGAAUAGUUAUGUGUGAAGUAUUUGGAGUUUCCUCACUGUAAUAAUACUACUCAAAAGUUGCUCACCAGUCAUCUAGCUAGCUUUUAGUCAGAAGGUUUUAUUAAAUAGCAGUUAUGGAGUGGAAGCAGGCAAUAGCAGCGAUUUUGGCUCCAACUCUUUUUCUUGGUUCUUGGAGGCAUAUUUGUGUCUCAUAAACUUAUCACUACACAUGUUAUCAAUAUUUGCUUCUCUGUCUUAAGCUCUGCUUCAAAUUAGUUUCCACGUCUCACCGACACUGUAAUGGCAUCCAUUAUUAAUCCCACAGAGGAUAAUCUGGUAGUCUAAUUCGUGGCUUCUUAUUUGUUCUCUUGUUGGUCUAUUUUAUGUCUUAUACUGUCAAUGGCAUGUUGUAUUUACGUGAAGGAAUAGAAAUUCUGUGAUUUAUUAAAGAAGGCUGAAUAUAAAUAUCUGGAACCAACAAAGUGUUGGCUCCACUGGUAAUGGAGUCCCCUUAAGUAGUCUGAUUGGGUUUGCUCCUCAGUUGGAGUCGCAAGGAAGUCACCUUUGUUGAGAGAACCUGUGCCUCUCGGUUCGAGCGGGAACUUCUAAUCUGAGUUGUGUACCCAGGACAAAGGCUCCACACAUGUUUAAUUCAAUUUAAAAUUCUGAAAAACAAUCAAUAUACUAUUCGCAGGUGAUAAUAUUUUAUGGGCAUAAUAGUAAAU